CAAACCUUAAACCUGCCAUCAUCUUCCCCAGAGAUUCCCAUCUACGUCAAUUCUGUUCCGAGUCCCGAGUAUGAGAAUACUUUCACACUGACAACGGAAAAUGACUCCACAGACCCAGCCUAUGAGAGACUGCAGACGAAUCCAGCACCCAUAGUUGACACCAAUCGUCUGUAUGAAAACACCAGAUUGACCUAAAAGCCCUGCAUCAGUGAGUGUCGGGAUCAAACCAAGUACUGUUGGUUUGCAAUCAAGUCAUUGUAUUUCAAACUGCGAAAGAUGCAUAUAUAUUCGGAUCAUACACGAUGCUAAUCCCAUGUAACAUCACACGCUGCGAGUUAUUUGUAACAUUACAUGUUAUAUGUUACAGUUGAAGUGUUAGUUUUGAGGAGCUGUCUCUUUUCAAAUUCUCAAAACCCCCUUUUUCCUGUAUCUAUAUAUUAAUUUAAUUUUUAAUAUGGAAUAAAGCAUGUUUAUUUUACAAAUAGAAAAAAAACUUGUAUAGUAUAUUAGAGGGUAUGAAGUUAACACAAAAGAGAUUUGUUUCUAAUUUAUGUGAAAUGUGUGCAGAGACUGAUGUACUUUUUAUAGCUCAGUGUGGCGGGGAGAAGUAAAAUCCAUGUGGCGGGGAGAAGUAAAAUCCGUGUGGCGAGGAGAAGUAAAAUCCGUGUGGCGGGGAGAAGUUAAAUCCGUGUGGCGGGGAGAAUUUAAAUCCGUGUUGCGGGGAGAAGUAAAAUGCAUGUGGCGGGGAGAAGUAAAAUCCGACGUGCUAUUUGUGAGAUAUUUUUCAGGCUGUUGUGUAAAAAAGGAGAACGUGUCUUGAUCUUUGUAUCAAGCUGACGUAAAUGAUAUUUAUGUCUUUGAAUCAAGAACACUGCGUUACAUACACAGUAGGGGAAGAGAGGUAGUCUUCAGCGAUUACACUGCUGCGCAAACGGUCACAACAGCAUCAUUGACCGCUUAUUGCCAUCUAGGCCUGCUUCAACAUUGAAAACCGGAAAAUCCAAAAAUUCCUUGUGCAAAGAUACAAUACAUUACAAUACAACGGCAAUGAGUACGUUUCACAGUCAAGUCAAGGAAGUCAAGUAUAUUUAUAGAGAAAUUUCUAAUAAAAUCGUGGCGCGACGUUUAGAAUGCAAUCUUUGUCAUGUCAUUCAACAAUGACUACGCGUUACACCAUGUUGAGCUGAAAUGCCCUUAUUUUGUAUAUGA